GCUUCAGGCUCGACACCUCGGUCAUUAGCUCCAGCUUCUGGGUCUCGAGCGCGGUCCGGUUUAACAGCUCCUGAGGAUCAGCACUAACAGCCAAAUGUCCCUACAACAAGGGUUGGUUGCGGACAGGUGAGGCCAAGCUGACCAAAGGCUGUAAACCUGGCAGCGCGACUCAACGUAGUGGGACCGAAAUACGAAGCUAAUAGUCCGCGCCGUGGUGCACAGCUGGCUGGGCUGUGAAGGCAACCAGCUCCAACUCGCCUCUGGCUGCCGGCUCUGGUUCACCGCAGCGGUGACAGAAAAAUCAUGCAGCAGAUUUUUCAGGUACAAAAACCCCUUCCUUACAUGUGGAAGCAUUUAGAAAUGAAAUAAACUUGUGCAAAAUGACA